UUCUCUCGUUUAACUGGCGUCUCGCCGCGAAGAUUGCCGAAUUAUCCUUUAUGUUGCUGUUACAGGAAUUCCUCCAGGUGAAACUACACUGGACUAUAUUUUGUUAUAGAUUCCACUUGUCACUUUUUUAUUUAUGUAAAUUCACCUUAUUUCAAUUUCUUGUUAUACCAACUGCUUGUGUUGAGACUGUUGAAUGAUUUUUCGGACUAAUGUCACUUCCACUAAUGUCACAUUCUGACUUUUGACUGUUGAAUUUUAUCAUAACAUUAGAUCACCAAGAUGGCUGGGAGCAAAUUAACGAUGUUACUGCUACAGGUAAACAUGGAAGACUGGCUAUCUCGAGCCCAGAUAUUGGUUUUAUUAAACGUGGAAAACAAAUGAAAAUUACUAUAGCAACAAACAACAAGCAUUUUUGAAAUUUUAUUUAUGCAAAUACUGACUUUUGGAUUGAAUUAUGAUGCAUGAAAUUCUCAUUUUCAGCUUCUUUGCAUUUUUUGCAUCUUUUGACACCAAUUGCACGUUUCUAGGUUAAGUUAAAAGUUAUGCCAAAAUUUUACUUAAUUUUACAAAUUUCAACUUAUUUUUUAUGAAUAUACUAAUUCUCAGCA